CCUAUGUCAAGCCACUACCAUAAAUCCCAACAAAAUAAUUAGCCCAUGUUAAAUAAAUGAUAAUCAAGGAGAAUAUUCAUCCAAUGUAUUACAAAUAUGGCUAAAUGAUGAAGAAAAUACAAAGAUAUAGAUAAAACCCUUUUUUUGUAGAUUGGCUAUGAUUUUCCCCAAAUGCUUUGCCAAAUCCUUGAUGUAAUCUCCUUGUUGCUCUAUGUUAUAUCUCCAAAAUAACCAAGAAAAAGAAAAGAAAAUGAAAGCAAAAUAAAAAAAAGAAAGAACCCAGCAGAAAACAGAACCCAGCAGAAGAUCGAACUGAAGAACUGCAAAUGAAAACUCAGCUGCUGGUUUUAUAUUAAAACCUAGGAAAAUUGCAGCCUUGGUCCCUGAAGUUUCAAAAGUGAACAAAAAUGUCCCCAACUCAUUUUUUCUUUUAAAAUGGGCGCCGCGGUGCCUGGUUCUCUGUCCAAAACCAUGAAAAUGGUUUUCUUUUUGAAGCCAAGUUUCAAAUAUUGCAUGCUAGUCCCUCAACUUUAGUUUUGUACAAUUUGGUCCUCGAAUUUUGACUUCCAAUUCGAUUUUGCCCUCCAUAAAUUGCAUUUCAAAUCCUCCACUUUUUGAC
rnacentral:lncRNA from 1 species